CCAGGAACCGCAGCCGCAACUCGUUCCCAUCGCUAAUUAGUUUCCUUGGGGAAAGUCUAUAGAGCUUGAACUAAAGCUCUUUCCCGUAUGUCUGACCACAUAUCAAGAAUUCAAAUUGGAGUAACCACAUUAGUAGCACUAGUGUUAUUUGACUUCUGGAAGCUUCUGCUAUGAUUUGUUAAUUCUUGCUAAUUGCCUAGAUCAGAGGCGUUCUUCUUGGCUCUAUUGUCCCCCUAUACUUCCUCUCUAGUUGAAAGAGGAGAUGCAAUUGAGUGGCCUAUCCUUUUCUCAAGCAAUGAGUCAAAAGCUUUAGCAGAGUCACGUUUCAGGAGAAGAACUGUUUUCGUAGCCUUGAGAAUAUCUUCAACUGAUCUUGCAGUACUAAUGUACUCAUAUAUCACUUCCACCAUCAAGAAGUUCUUUUAGGAUAUUUUUGCAUCCCUUUUCUCAAAAUCUCAAUCUCUUCUUUGCUCUAAGGAUUUUCCCUUUUCUCAUGGCCGCUGAAU
rnacentral:lncRNA from 1 species